CGGGAUGUAGCGCAGCUUGGUAGCGUACCUGUCUUGGGAACAGGUGGUCGCAGGUUCAAAUCCUGUCAUCCCGA
rnacentral:tRNA from 1 species